GACUACAGGUGUAUCUAAUCCUGUUCGCUCCCCACGCUUUCGCUCCUCAGCGUCAGUAACGGCCCAGAGACCUGCCUUCGCCAUUGGUGUUCUUCCCGUUAUCUACACAUUCCACCGUUACACCGGGAAUUCCAGUCUCCCAUACCGCACUCAAGCCCGCCCGUACCCGGCGCGGAUCCACCGUUAAGCGAUGGACUUUCACACCGGACGCGACGAACCGCCUACGAGCCCUUUACGCCCAAUAAAUCCGGAUAACGCUUGCACCCUACGUAUUACCGCGGCUGCUGGCACGUAGUUAGCCGGUGCUUAUUCGAACACUCCACUCAACACGGCCAAAGACCGUGCCUUGCCCUUGAACAAAAGCGGUUUACAACCCGAAGGCCUCCAUCCCGCACGCGGCGUCGCUGCAUCAGGCUUGCGCCCAUUGUGCAAUAUUCCCCACUGCUGCCCCCCGUAGG
rnacentral:rRNA from 1 species